CUUUAAGAUUUAUGUUUGUUGACAGUUGGCAGGAUUAUCUGCUGAUGACAUGAUCGCUGUGAAUAAUAUGCGCUGCUUAUGCACUGACACAAAAAAGUCCUCAGGAGGAGGUUUUACACUGAAAUUUGAUGUUCAGAAGAAAAAACAUGCACAUAGAAAAGAGCGAACGACGGAACAAUCAGCAUGGGCACUGUCCCGAUUUUAUCCGGUUCUGGAGUGUGGGUAUUACGCCGAAGCCUUGGACCCCUGCGGUGCGGCUCCAGCCAGGGAGGGGUUGUCGCACAGCAUAGGCAAGGGAAGAAUUAUCAGAUGGGAGAUAAUUUGAUUCUUUGUUGCUAGCCUGAUCUGACUAGGAGGUGGGCACUAUAAAGUGCAUACAGAAGACUUGAGGCCUAAGGCUAGGAUCCUAGCAAACGUGGAAAGGACUAUACAAACUAGGAAACAAUUUCUAGAGAUAAGACCCUACCAAACUUCAAGAUGCAGAUUUGUUUCCUAAUGUGAUCUGCUACCGGUUGCACCAGCUAAGCCCACACGUGACAGCUGGUUUCACCCCAAUCUGCUAAGCUAUCUCUGACAACUGCAGCAACAGCAACAACAACUUUAGUCGCAAACAAGUUGGGGUAGGCUAGAGCUGAAACUCGUAAGAUCUCGAAACUGACUCAUGGUUCUGGCAUGGUGGAUAGCUAACUUCCAUGCACCCCUGUCCAUGGCUAGUUCUUUAGUGAUAUUCCAGACCUUCAGAUCUUUCUUUAUGGACUCCUCCCAUGUAAGUUUGGUCUACCUUGCCCUCUCUUGACAUUAUCAGCAUGCAUUAGCAGUCCGCUAUGCACUGGAGCUUCUGGAGGCCUGCGCUGAAUAUGGCCGAACCAUCUCAGACGAUGUUGGACAAGUUUCUCUUCAAUCGGUGCUACCCCAACUCUAUCACAUAUAUCAUCAUUUCGGACCCGAUUCUUUCUUUUGUGGCCGCACAUCCAUCUCAACAUGCGCAUCUCCGCUACACCUAACCGGUGAAUAUGUCGCCUUUUCAUCGGCCAACGCUCAGCCAUACAAUAUUGCGGGUCAAAUCGUCGUCCGGUAGAACCUACCUUUUAGCUUUUGUGGCACUCUCUUGUCACGGAGAACGCCAGAAGCUUGACGCCACUUCAUCCAUCUGGUUUUGAUACAAUGGCUCACAUCCUCAUCGAUAUCACCAUCCUUCUGCAACAUUGACCUCAAAUGUCGAAAGGUGUCCUGCUGAGGUAUCACCUGCCCAUCAAGGCUAACCUCCUCAUGCUUAGUAGUACUGAAACCGCACCUCAUGUACUCCGUUUUAGUUUUAUCAAGUCU